ACAAGUAAAGCAAGAAGUGCAGUUGGGUUCUUCAAAAUGGGAGAGGCACCCCAGAUUGCCAUUCUUCGAGCUGGCACCUUUAUGAGGACCCAAUACAUUCCUAGGCUCGCUGAGAUCUCUAAGCUCCUCCUCCUUAAAUCCAUUUGGAGCCGUACAGAGGAAUCUGCUAGAGGUGCCGUUGAGAUUGCUCAAAAACAUUUUCCAGGAGUAGAGCGCAAGUGGGGUGAUAAGGGUCUUCAAGAAAUUAUUGAAGAUAGGUCAAUUCUUGGUGUUGCAGUGAGAGAGAGAAAAGAGAAGGAAAGGAAAUAGAAAAGAA